AAUGAACGCUGGCGGCGUGCCUAAUACAUGCAAGUCGAGCGAACAGAUGAGAAGCUUGCUUCUCUGAUGUUAGCGGCGGACGGGUGAGUAACACGUGGGUAACCUACCUAUAAGACUGGGAUAACUCCGGGAAACCGGGGCUAAUACCGGAUAAUAUUUUGAACCGCAUGGUUCGAUAGUGAAAGACGGUUUCGGCUGUCACUUAUAGAUGGACCCGCGCCGUAUUAGCUAGUUGGUAGGGUAACGGCUUACCAAGGCGACGAUACGUAGCCGACCUGAGAGGGUGAUCGGCCACACUGGAACUGAGACACGGUCCAGACUCCUACGGGAGGCAGCAGUAGGGAAUCUUCCGCAAUGGGCGAAAGCCUGACGGAGCAACGCCGCGUGAGUGAUGAAGGUCUUCGGAUCGUAAAACUCUGUUGUUAGGGAAGAACAAAUUUGUUAGUAACUGAACAAGUCUUGACGGUACCUAACCAGAAAGCCACGGCUAACUACGUGCCAGCCGCCGCUGUAA
rnacentral:rRNA from 1 species